rnacentral:rRNA from 1 species
GUCAAAGCUCCGGCGGUCAGAGAUGGACAUGCGUAACAUUAGCUUGUUGGUGAGGUUACGGCUCACCAAGGCUACGAUGUUUAGGGGGUCUGAGAGGAUGGUCCCCCACACUGGUACUGAGACACGGACCAGACUUCUACGGAAGGCAGCAGUGAGGAAUAUUGGUCAAUGGGCGAAAGCCUGAACCAGCCAUGCCGCGUGAAGGAGGGACAGCCCUACGGGUUGUAAACUUCUUUUGUACGGGAAGAAACACUUCUACGUGUAGAAGCUUGACGGUACCGUACGAAUAAGCAUCGGCUAACUCCGUGCCAGCAGCCGCGGUAAUACGGAGGAUGCAAGCGUUAUCCGGAUUCAUUGGGUUUAAAGGGUACGUAGGCGGAAGAUUAAGUCAGUGGUGAAAUCCUGCAGCUUAACUGUAGAACUGUCAUUGAUACUGAUCUUCUUGAAUAUAGUUGAGGUAGGCGGAAUGUGUAAUGUAGCGGUGAAAUGCUUAGAUAUUACACAGAACACCGAUUGCGAAGGCAGCUUACUAAACUAUGAUUGACGCUGAGGUACGAAAGCGUGGGGAGCGAACAGGAUUAGAUACCCUGGUAGUCCACGCUGUAAACGAUGAUCACUCGUUGUUGGCGAUAUAGUGUCAGCGACUGAGCGAAAGCAUUAAGUGAUCCACCUGGGGAGUACGAUCGCAAGAUUGAAACUCAAAGGAAUUGACGGGGGCCCGCACAAGCGGAGGAACAUGUGGUUUAAUUCGAUGAUACGCGAGGAACCUUACCUGGGCUUAAAUGUAGAACGACGGAUCGGGAAACUGAUCCUUCUUCGGACGGUCUGCAAGGUGCUGCAUGGCUGUCGUCAGCUCGUGCCGUGAGGUGUCGGGUUAAGUCCCAUAACGAGCGCAACCCUCAUCAUUAGUUGCCAGCGGGUAAUGCCGGGGACUCUAAUGAAACUGCCGGUGUAAACCGAGAGGAAGGUGGGGAUGACGUCAAGUCAGCACGGCCCUUAUGUCCAGGGCUACACACGUGUUACAAUGGUCGAUACAAAGGGCAGCUACCUGGUAACAGGAUGCUAAUCUCUAAAAUCGGUCUUAGUUCGGAUCGAAGUCUGCAACUCGACUUCGUAAAGCUGGAUUCGCUAGUAAUCGCGCAUCAGCCACGGCGCGGUGAUACGUUCCCGGGCCUUGUACACACCGCCCGUCAAGCCAUGGAAG